rnacentral:tRNA from 1 species
AGAAAAUUAGUUAAAAAAUAACAUUAAUUUGUCAAAUUAAAAUUACUAUUGUAUUUUCUA